rnacentral:rRNA from 1 species
GGGAGCUCUGUAGCAUUUCUCAUAUUAUAUGUGGAUGACAUACUAUUGAUGGGAAAUGAUAUAGAACUUUUGGAAAGCAUAAAGGCAUACUUGAAUAAGUGUUUUUCAAUGAAGGAACUUGGAGAAGCUGCUUACAUAUUAGGCAUCAAGAUCUAUAGAGAUAGAUCGAGACGCCUCAUAGGUCUUUCACAAAGCACAUACCUUGAUAAGAUAUUGAAAAAGUUCAAUAUGGAUCAGUCCAAGAAGGGGUUCUUGCCUGUAUUGCAAGGUGUGAAAUUGAGCUCAGCUCAAAGCCCGACCACGGCAAAAGAUAGAGAAAAGAUGAGUGUCAUCCCCUAUGCCUCAGCCAUAGGGUCUAUUAUGUAUGCCAUGAUGUGUACCAUACCUGAUGUAAACCUUGCCGUAAGUUUGGUAGGAAGGUACCAAAGUAAUCCUGGC